UACGUAGGGCGCAAGCGUUGUCCGGAUUUAUUGGGCGUAAAGAGUUCGUAGGCGCUUUAUCGCAUCUUGUUUCAAAUACUAGGGCUCAACCUUAGAAGGGGACAAGAGAUGGAUAGAGUUGAAGUAUUUCGGGGCUACUGAAACUGUCGGUGUAGGAGUGAAAUCCGUUGAUAUCGAUAGGAACACCGAGGGCGAAGGCAGGUAGCUAGGAGUGUCUUGACGCUGAGGAACGAAAGCUAGGGGAGCGAAAGGG
rnacentral:misc_RNA from 1 species